UACGGGGGGGGCUAGCGUUGUUCGGAAUUACUGGGCGUAAAGGGCGCGUAGGCGGCCUACUAAGUCGGACGUGAAAUCCCUCGGCUCAACCGGGGAACUGCGUCCGAUACUGGUGGGCUCGAAUCCGGGAGAGGGAUGUGGAAUUCCAGGUGUAGCGGUGAAAUGCGUAGAUAUCGAGAGGAACACCAGUGGCGAAGGCGAGUCUCUGGACAUUUCCUGACGCUGAGGCACGAAAGCCAGGGGAGCAAACGGG
rnacentral:rRNA from 1 species